AGGAGAUCUAUGGAAUCCUGAGAGUACAUGUCCUCUCUAAAAAAAGAAGGGGUUCACGUCUUAGUUGAUGGAUAAUGUAGCAGAAGUAGUGUCAGCAGCAGGCAGCAGAGCGCGGAACAUGGCGGGUAUCAGCUGUGGCAGGAUGAUGGAGCAGGUGAGCAGGGACACCAGACCAAGACAGGGCGCCAAUCGCUGUCAUUGGGGUUGCUGGCCCAGACUUCACAGAUAACCUGGCUAUUCUCCACAAGUGCUGCGGGCAUCCUGAAGAAACUUGAG